GUGUUCCUGUUACCAACCACAAUAAACAAAAUCUCCACUGUGCACCUGGCACCAAUUUUCAAGAUGGACAUAAUAAAAUAGGGAAACUGGGGAGCACAUGUUCUGAAUUUCAUCAUCAAGGGCAUAACAGAUUAUAAUCUAAAAAAGAAAAAGGCAAUUGACGGCUGCCUGUUUGCCCUGAUGAUAGUCUACUUCCAUCUAUCAAAAAAUAAAGACAAGAAAGGAGAAGAAAGACCUCCACAACCCUGGAUUACCAACUAGACUAGAGUGCAGUUGGUUGAAAGAAUGAGAGCAGAAAUGGAUGAACAUAUGGGAAUUGUAAAGAUGGCCGAAACAAAGGAGAAAUUAAAACAAAUGAAGAAAAAAGA